CCUAUCAGCUUUCGACGGUAUGGUAUUGGCUUACCGUGGCAGUGACGGUUAACGGGGGAUUAGGGUUCGAUUCCGGAGAGGGAGCCUGAGAAACGGCUACCACAUCUAAGGAAGGCAGCAGGCGCGCAAAUUACCCAAUUCUAACAGUUUGAGAGAGGUAGUAACAAGAAAUAACAAUACAAGGCAGUUAAAAUGCUUUGUAAUUGGAAUGAUAGAAAUUUAAACCCUUUUUAAAGUAUCAAUUGGAGGGCAAGUCUGGUGCCAGCAGCCGCGGUAAUUCCAGCUCCAAUAGCGUAUAUUAAAAUUGUUGCAGUUAAAAAGCUCGUAGUUGAAGUUCUGCUAAAAGUAACCGGUCUGCUUUUAAUAAAAGUGGUAUCUUGGUAUGUAUUUAGCAAUGAUGUCCUUUGAAGUGUUUUUUACUUUAUUGUAAUAAAGCAUAUUCAGGACUUUUACUUUGAGAAAAUUAGAGUGUUUCUAGCAGGCCGACGCUUUGAAUACUGCAGCAUGGAAUAAUAAGAUAGGAUUUUAGUUCUACAUUGUUGGUUUUAAGAGCUAAAUUAAUGAUUGAUAGGGACAGUUGGGGGCAUUUGUAUUUAACUGUCAGAGGUGAAAUUCU
rnacentral:rRNA from 1 species